rnacentral:rRNA from 1 species
GGCGACCGGCGCACGGGUGCGUAACGCGUAUGUAACCUACCUAUAACAGGGGCAUAACACUGAGAAAUUGGUACUAAUUCCCCAUAAUAUUCGGAGAGGCAUCUCUCCGGGUUGAAAACUCCGGUGGUUAUAGAUGGACAUGCGUUGUAUUAGCUAGUUGGUGAGGUAACGGCUCACCAAGGCAACGAUACAUAGGGGGACUGAGAGGUUAACCCCCCCACACUGGUACUGAGACACGGACCAGACUCCUACGGGGAGGCAGCAUG